UAUCUCUGUAGAGUCUGCAUAUCAAUAAGCGGAGGAAAAGAAACUAACAAGGAUUCCCCUAGUAACGGCGAGUGAAGCGGGAAGAGCUCAAAUUUGAAAUCUUCAAGGUUUGACCUUGACGAAUUGUAGUUUAAAGAAGUGUUUUCGGUUAGAGGAGUAGUAAAAGUUCUUUGGAAUAGGACAUCAUAGAGGGUGAGAAUCCCGUAUUUGACUAUUCUUUCUAGCUUUGUGAUACACUUUCAAAGAGUCGGAUUGUUUGGGAAUGCAGUCCAAAAUGGGUGGUAAAUUUCAUCUAAAGCUAAAUAUUGGCGAGAGACCGAUAGCGAACAAGUACCGUGAGGGAAAGAUGAAAAGAACUUUGAAAAGAGAGUUAAACAGUACGUGAAAUUGUCAAAAGGGAAGCGUUUGACACCAGUGUUGUUUUUCCGAAAAAUCAAUUACGAAUGGCUUGAUUUUGUGUUGUAUUGACCUUAUCAGCUUUCUUCACUUUUUUCGAGUCUUUCUUAAUGCACUUUUUCGGUUAACAAGUCAACAUCAAUUUCUUUUGUUGUAAAAGAGUAUUCGGAAGGUGGCUUUCUUUUCGGAGAAAGUGUUUACUAGCCCUAUACUUCUACGAUCGGAGAGAUUGAGGUCUGCAGCGUAGAUCCUUCGGGGUUAGAUACAUUUGUGCUAAGUUGUAGCUUUUCAUAGACAACUUGUUGACUAUGUUUAGUCAUGCGGCUUACUCGCUUAUGCUAUUUUACCUACGCUUAGGAUGUUGAAGACUCUACAGAGAU
rnacentral:rRNA from 1 species